CAUGGCUUUCGACGGGGGUGUGUUGUGCUACAGAAGCGAGUCGAUGGUUUCCUGGACCAGCGUUAAAAAACUGGGAAUUAAAUAUAAACGCAGAAGAAAAUUACGCUUUAGCAGCUUAAUUAAGCCGCUCGUCCUACCCGAGAGUCCCACGACUUGGGAUAGGGCGUCAAUUAGUGGGGAACCGAGCCUUGGAAAGCUUUGACCUUGGAACGGAAAACAUGAAGCUACUGAAACUGGAAGCCUGUCCUUAGGCGUCUAGUGGAGGGAAUGUCAAAUUAAGGACUGCACUCGGAGAUGCUGUAGUGUUGCUGCUUUCGGACAGGGGUUCGAUUCA
rnacentral:tmRNA from 2 species